UGGCCGAGGACACUAGGUUGGCAUCCGUUGAUCACAACAACCUUGGUACAUGCUGAGGUCAGAGGCAUACCUCCACAUCAUUUGCCCUCACUCCCGAGUCCAAGCUUAUCAAGGAGGUCGGACGAAGGGAGUAGGAGCCGAUGACCAGGCCCACUUUGGUGUCCAUGUUGAAGCACCCACAAUAACUGCCCUUCGAGGAAGCAGCAUGACGGCAUGAGGAGCCAUGUGUCAUGAUAUUGGAAGCCUAGACAAACUAUACCCUUGAUUUGAGCUGCUCAUUUCGGUGAUUCAUUGGAAAUUGGUCUUAGCAAUCCUAAGCUGUCAUGUGGUGAGCAUCAACGGAGGCAAGAUGAACCAUCACCUAAUUGGAACUAUCUGACAUCCUAUAAAUAGCCACC
rnacentral:lncRNA from 1 species